ensembl:snoRNA SNORA71 Small nucleolar RNA SNORA71
CCCUGCAUUGGUAAGUGAUCACAGACUGCUCGUGUCCUGGUCAUUGGUAGUGCAGACAGAGGAAAUGGGAAAGGGUUGCCCAAUGUUUGGAGGGUCCAUGUAUUUGCCUUUCAGUUCUGAGAGCUUUCCCACA